GACGAACGCUGGCGGCGUGCUUAACACAUGCAAGUCGAACGGAAAGGCCCUGCUUUUGUGGGGUGCUCGAGUGGCGAACGGGUGAGUAACACGUGAGUAACCUGCCCUUGACUUUGGGAUAACUUCAGGAAACUGGGGCUAAUACAGGAUAGGAGCUCCUGCUGCAUGGUGGGGGUUGGAAAGUUUCGGCGGUUGGGGAUGGACUCGCGGCUGAUCAGCUUGCUGGUGGGGUAGUGGCUUACCAAGGCUUUGGCCGGUAGCCGGCCUGGGAGGGUGAGCGGCCACAUUGGGACUGAGAUACGGCCCCGACUCCUACGGGAGGCAGCAGUGGGGAAUGUUGCACAAUGGGCGGAAGCCUGAUGCAGCAACGCCGCGUGCGGGAUGACGGCCUUCGGGUUGUAAACCGCUUUCGCCUGUGACGAAGCGUGAGUGACGGUAAUGGGUAAAGAAGCACCGGCUAACUACGUG
rnacentral:rRNA from 1 species